rnacentral:pre_miRNA from 1 species
GAGGUACUCCCUCCGUCCGAAAAAACUUGUCAUCAAAAUGGACAAAAAGGAAUGUAUCUAGAACUAAAAUACAUCUAGAUACAUCCCUUUUUAUUUAUUUUGAUGACAAAUAUUUUUGGACGGAGGGAGUAUGUG